UGGGUGUAUAGCUUAGUGGAUUAGAGCGUAUGGCUACGAACCAUAAGGUCGGGGGUUCAAUCCCCUCUACACUCAA
rnacentral:tRNA from 1 species